CUCGUACAGCAUAAUGCCCAGGUUGCAGCUCGCCAGCGCGGUGCCGUACUGGUCCCCUCCUCGCGCCAUUUGCAGGUACUCCUGCAGACACCUCACCGCGGCCUCCGGAUCCCCCAUGUCGCCAAGACAGGACGAGAAGGCGGCAUAUGCCGUACCCAUGGCGGACCGGUCCUUGUCCUUGUCGGGCAUGUGGGCCGCGAGCUCCAGAAACUGGCGCAGGUAGUGCACUGCUUCCAGGUGCUUCUUCUGCUCGUGGAACAACAUGC
rnacentral:lncRNA from 1 species